UUGUGCCACUGCCAUGGAAUCCUGGAAUCAUGGAAUGCUCUGGGCAGGAAGGGACCUUAAAGCUCCUCUCAUCCCACCCCUGCCAUGGCAGGGACACCUCCCACUGUCCCAGGCUGCUCCCAGCCCUGUCCAGCCUGGCCUUGGGCACUGCCAGGGAUCCAGGGGCAGCCACAGCUGCUCUGGGCACCCUGUGCCAGGGCCUCUUCACCUCACAGAGAAGGAUUUUUUCCUAAUAUCCUAUCUAAUCCUGCGCUCUGGCAGUGGGAAGCCAUUCUCCCUUGUCCUGGCACUCCAUCCCUUGCUGAACAGCCCCAGUUCUCCCAGCCUUUCCUCACAGGAAAGGUGUUCCACCCUCCCAUCACCCUCAGGACUCAGGAGAGGUCCUUGGCUCCUCUGUUCCUCCUCCUAAGUCAAAUGAAACCUGUCCUGGUCCAUGCUGGGUGAAACUUGUGGGACAAACACCCAGAGAGAAGAGACCCUGAGAAAUGAGACGAUGAACACAUCAAACCUUCCAGCUCAAAACAACAACAAAAUUGUAAAUACUGACUGAGCACACAUUGAGGGCAGAGGAAAUCCCAGGUAGAGAUGUGUUGGAAAAGGAGGGACAGCCCAGCUGCUCCUCUCCUGCCUGAGGGCCUACAACUGGUGCAGGGCCAUCUUGGGCAGAUUGUUCUGUAGAGGAGUUACAAAGAGGCUCUAAGAGAAUCCUGCACAGCUCAGAGCCCAAAAAACACCAGAGUGAAAGAGAGGGGAA